CAGUAGCCGCGGGAAUACGCAGGUGGCAAGCGUUGUCCGGAAUUAUUGGGCGUAAAGGGCUCGCAGGCGGUUUCUUAAGUCUGAUGUGAAAGCCCCCGGCUCAACCGGGGAGGGUCGUUGGAAACUGGGAAACUUGAGUGCAGAAGAGGAGAGUGGAAUUCCACGUGUAGCGGUGAAAUGCGUAGAGAUGUGGAGGAGCACCAGUGGCGAAGGCGACUCUCUGGUCUGUAACUGACGCUGAGGAGCGAAAGCGUGGGGAGCGAACAGGAUUAGAUACCCCGGUAGUCCCUGUCUCUUAUAA
rnacentral:rRNA from 1 species